rnacentral:ncRNA from 1 species
AUAGCCCUGUAUUUAUCGAAGGGUUACGUUUACGUGACUUAUUGAUGUAGGUAAAACGGGGCUUU